rnacentral:lncRNA from 1 species
AUCAGACUCAGAGGACAAUCUGCUAUGUGCAUUCAUAGACACACAUCACACAUUCUGUAUGUAUACACAGCUGUUCACAAUGCACAUUGGAAUACCCCUUUUCACUACAAUUAAUUAUUACCCAACAUUGAAUAAUCACUAGUGAGAAGAUAUAAGGGCAAGUGAAAUAUGAAGUCGAGCUAGUUUAUUUUUAGAAAGCACCACUUUAAAGUGUUGAUUGAUUGAACAGGUGUUUAAUAGCAUUUGUCAGAAUCAAUUCACAGGAAAUCUCUUUCACAUUCAGGUUACAGCAAUAGAAGGAAAAAUAGCCUACACAUUUUACAAUUUCAAUUGUAAAAAGUCAUAUUUUGGGACUUGUGUGGGUAUCUGAAAAUAUUAGAUUCUAUCAGGCCCAAUUAAAGCUUUUAAUUUCAUAAGAUUUCAGACAACCAGCUGAGCAUCCCCUGGACUCCAGGGGCUUCAUCUUGGACAUCUAAGGAGAAUGUCUGCUGUACAUCCCCAUGAAACCUGUGACUGCUCUGCUUGAACUAUGAGGUUAUUGAAAAGAGAGCAAAUCCUUUUCUGAAGAGCCUCCAAUAGGAGGAUGUUUCAGUUAAUUUCAGCUCCCUGUCAGCUCAAAAGAAUGGACGCUGUGCUGUGCACUGUUCCCAUGUAUGCUGCACGCAGAGCACUGCUCAGUGACUCAGCCUUCAGGGAGCCUUCAGGGUUUGAAGCUGCAUCAUCCCUUUCAUCCUUAAAGUUCUUUUGAAUUUCAUC